AGUUUGAUCCUGGCUCAGGACGAACGCUGGCGGCGUGCCUAAUACAUGCAAGUCGAACGAACUCUGGUAUUGAUUGGUGCUUGCAUCAUGAUUUACAUUUGAGUGAGUGGCGAACUGGUGAGUAACACGUGGGAAACCUGCCCAGAAGCGGGGGAUAACACCUGGAAACAGAUGCUAAUACCGCAUAACAACUUGGACCGCAUGGUCCGAGUUUGAAAGAUGGCUUCGGCUAUCACUUUUGGAUGGUCCCGCGGCGUAUUAGCUAGAUGGUGGGGUAACGGCUCACCAUGGCAAUGAUACGUAGCCGACCUGAGAGGGUAAUCGGCCACAUUGGGACUGAGACACGGCCCAAACUCCUACGGGAGGCAGCAGUAGGGAAUCUUCCACAAUGGACGAAAGUCUGAUGGAGCAACGCCGCGUGAGUGAAGAAGGGUUUCGGCUCGUAAAACUCUGUUGUUAAAGAAGAACAUAUCUGAGAGUAACUGUUCAGGUAUUGACGGUAUUUAACCAGAAAGCCACGGCUAACUACGUGCCAGCAGCCGCGGUAAUACGUAGGUGGCAAGCGUUGUCCGGAUUUAUUGGGCGUAAAGCGAGCGCAGGCGGUUUUUUAAGUCUGAUGUGAAAGCCUUCGGCUCAACCGAAGAAGUGCAUCGGAAACUGGGAAACUUGAGUGCAGAAGAGGACAGUGGAACUCCAUGUGCGGCGGUGAAAUGCGUAGAUAUAUGGAAGAACACCAGUGGCGAAGGCGGCUGUCUGGUCUGUAACUGACGCUGAGGCUCGAAAGUAUGGGUAGCAAACAGGAUUAGAUACCCUGGUAGUCCAUACCGUAAACGAUGAAUGCUAAGUGUUGGAGGGUUUCCGCCCUUCAGUGCUGCAGCUAACGCAUUAAGCAUUCCGCCUGGGGAGUACGGCCGCAAGGCUGAAACUCAAAGGAAUUGACGGGGGCCCGCACAAGCGGUGGAGCAUGUGGUUUAAUUCGAAGCUACGCGAAGAACCUUACCAGGUCUUGACAUACUAUGCAAAUCUAAGAGAUUAGACGUUCCCUUCGGGGACAUGGAUACAGGUGGUGCAUGGUUGUCGUCAGCUCGUGUCGUGAGAUGUUGGGUUAAGUCCCGCAACGAGCGCAACCCUUAUUAUCAGUUGCCAGCAUUAAGUUGGGCACUCUGGUGAGACUGCCGGUGACAAACCGGAGGAAGGUGGGGAUGACGUCAAAUCAUCAUGCCCCUUAUGACCUGGGCUACACACGUGCUACAAUGGAUGGUACAACGAGUUGCGAACUCGCGAGAGUAAGCUAAUCUCUUAAAGCCAUUCUCAGUUCGGAUUGUAGGCUGCAACUCGCCUACAUGAAGUCGGAAUCGCUAGUAAUCGCGGAUCAGCAUGCCGCGGUGAAUACGUUCCCGGGCCUUGUACACACCGCCCGUCACACCAUGAGAGUUUGUAACACCCAAAGUCGGUGGGGUAACCUUUUAGGAACCAGCCGCCUAAGGUGGGACAGAUGAUUAGGGUG
rnacentral:rRNA from 1 species